GCUAACAUUUUUCAAGACAAAUAUAAAGACAUGAACACAUACAAAGUGAAUAUGGAACAGAAACCUGAUGAAUCAAAUAAAGAAGGCACAUUUUUACCAUUGGCCCCAGAAGAAGAAUUAUUACUAGAACAAUUUAAAAUAAAACCUAAAGAGAUAAAAAAUGAAGAUUUAUCACCAGGGCAAUUAUUAGCCCAAGGGGAUUUCAAUUCAGGUGAGAAAAAUGAGGCCCGGAGAAGAUAUUCAGAUAGUUACCUUCCCAGCUGUGACUUCAUGGCUUCUGGCUCUAAAAUCAAGGCCAAAGAGACCCCAAUAAAAAAAGAAAAAGAAGAAGAUGAAAUAGUAGUGGAGGAAGAGAUUAUUAGCACUGGAAAACCUACAGAGGGAAAGGCUAAAAAGAGAUUUUCCUGGUUCCGCAAUAUCAAAGAACGCAAGCUGUGGAACUUCUUUCAUUUUAAAAAACAUGACAAACAAGUAAAGAAUGUGCACAAGUGGGAAGAAAUUGAUCAAGAGGUAUUGGAAGAUUACUCUCCUUAUUCUACUGAAGCCCCUAAAACAUUGCCAACAGAGUGGACAAAUAUUGAAGUUGGUAAUUGGUUAUGGAGCAUUGGAAUGGAGGAGUAUGUUGUAAAAUUUUAUUGUAAAGGAAUAAGUGGUGAAAAACUCCUUACACUGGACAAUCGCUCGCUAAAAGAAAUCGAAGUCAACAAGAAGAAAGACCGCCGGAAAAUACUUAAGGCUAUUAAGAAAGUUAGAGAUUUUUGGGAAAAAAAUCAUCAUUUCGUCUUAUUAUAGAAAUUGAUGGAAAGAAGACACAGAACCUGAAAGAUGGCAAAAAUGGAAAAUGCAAUUACUUUUGUUAUAUUGACUUUUCAUCAUUUUACUUCUGUUACUUUUGUUAUAUGAACUUUUAAGGGAUUUUACUUCCAUGUUACUUUUGUUAUAUGAACUUUUAAGGGAUUUUAGUUCCAUGUUACUUUUGUUAUAUGAACUUUUAAUCAUUUUAUUACUGUUACUUUUUUUAUUAUUAACUUUUAAUUAUUUCACUUUCAUGUUACAUUUGUUAUAUGAACUUUUAAGGGAUUUUACUUCCAUGUUAUUUUUGUUAUUAUUAACUUUUAAUCAUUUCACUUCCAUGUUACUUUUGUUAUAUGAACUUUUAAGUGAUUUUACUUCCAUGUUACUUUUGAUAUAUGAACUUUUAAGGGAUUUUACUUCCAUGUUACUUUUGUUAUAUGAACUUUUAAUCAUUUCACUUCCAUGUUACUUUUGUUAUAUAGAACUUUUAAGGGAUUUUACUUCCAUGUUAAUUUUGUUAUAUGAACUUUUAAUCAUUUUAUUACUGUUACUUUUGUUAUUAUUAACUUUUAAUCAUUUCACUUCUAUGUUUCUUUUGCUUUCUUAUUAACUUUUAAUUAUUUCAUUUUUAAGUAAGUAUUAUUUUGAUAGAGGAUAAUUUUUGCACAGGUUAAUAAUUGUUAAUAUCAUACAUAUAACAUAUGAAAAAAAUGGUUAUAAUAAGCACUUAUACUUUUUUAUAAGAACUAAUAUGGAAUUUCCCCCAUAUGAUCAUUUUGUAAGUAGCAAUCAUUCUAAUCUAACAAAAUUUUUAGUUAUUUUUCCUUUUCAACUUUUCAUUGCCACUGCCACCUGCUUUAAAGAAUCUGUCCCAAGUACUCUUUAUUAGUUCAUAAUCCCAGAGAACUCAAUAGGCUUUAGUCAAGCCCUCAUGAUGCUCUGUUACUUUUGUUUCAGAAUCUAUAUAUAAACAAAAGAAAUGCAUAUAAGAAUCUGUACAUAUUAUAGAUUUCCCUUAAGCAUACAUAUUGUUCAUGAGAUCUCCUUAUUACCUUACUUUUUUUUGUCAUAAUCCUCUCCAAAUCAUAUUUUAAGAGCUACAAAGUAUAGUUUUAUAUUCAUCACUCUCUUAUAGAAUUUAGUUUAAAUUUCUAUCAAAGUAUUUUAAAUAACAAUAAAAAUAACUUCAUAAAACUUUCCCCCUUAAAA
ensembl:lncRNA